rnacentral:rRNA from 1 species
UCUGUCCUACGGGACGCAGCAGUGAGGAAUAUUGGUCAAUGGGCGGAAGCCUGAACCAGCCAAGUCGCGUGAGGGAAGAAGGCCCUGCGGGUCGCAGACCUCUUUGGACGGGGAGCAAGGCCGCCGACGUGUCGGCGGAAGGAGAGUACCCGUAGAACAAGCAUCGGCUAACUCCGUGCCAGCAGCCGCGGUAAUACGGAGGAUGCGAGCGUUAUCCGGAUUUAUUGGGUUUAAAGGGUGCGCAGGCGGCACGGCAAGCUGGCGGUCAAAUCUCGGGGCUCAACCCCGCCCAGCCG